rnacentral:rRNA from 1 species
UACAGAGGGGGCAAGCGUUGUUCGGAAUUACUGGGCGUAAAGGGCGCGUAGGCGGCCUUCUAAGUCGAACGUGAAAUCCCCGGGCUCAACCCGGGAACUGCGUCCGAUACUGGAAGGCUUGAAUCCGGGAGAGGGAUGUGGAAUUCCAGGUGUAGCGGUGAAAUGCGUAGAUAUCUGGAGGAACACCGGUGGCGAAGGCGACAUCCUGGACCGGGUAUUG